GAAUAUGUAGGUUUCAUAAUGUAUCCCCUUAGUCGAAUGUUUGCUAUAUUUGUAGCAAAUUUUAGUUUUCUUUAAAUUAUCAUCAAAAAUAAACUAGACUUCACAGGGCCUCCGAGGUCUCAAUCUCCCGAGCCCAUAGAUCUCUUCAUGCACUACUACGGUUCCUUUAUACCGUCGAUGAUGACGUGGCGUUUUGGUGUGGGUUGGCGCGAAGAUUCUUGACGGUGGGAAUUCGAUUGAAACUGAUGGGGCUAUGGUUCUACACCUAGAUCUGAAAUUAAAUCGGAAUUGCCAACAAAAAUGGAAUGUUCAUAAAUCCUACCUUGGAUUCUCCGAUUGGUUUGGCCUAUAUAAGAGUAAGAUGGGGGGCACUCGGCACAAGCAACUUCGACUCCGUGUGUCAACCAUUCAAUACUUAAAAAUAUAUAUGGGACCAAGUGUCAGCUGAAAGUAUAUAAAUAUUAUACAAAUACAACGUUUAUCUUUUUCUAUAAGUUCUUUGUUAUUCCGACAUUGAGGUACUUAUACGAUUUAUGGAUUUUUAAUUAUUUUAAAGCAAUGUUUUGCCUAAGC
rnacentral:lncRNA from 1 species